GACGAACGCUGGCGGCAUGCCUAAUACAUGCAAGCCGAGCGAACAGAUGAAGUGCUUGCACUUCUGACGUUAGCGGCGAACGGGUGAGUAACACGUAAGGAAUCUACCUAUAAGCGGGGGAUAACAUUCGGAAACGGGUGCUAAUACCGCAUAAUAUCUUCUUCCGCAUGGAAGAAGAUUGAAAGACGGCACUGCUGUCACUUAUAGAUGACCUUGCGGUGCAUUAGUUAGUUGGUGGGGUAACGGCCUACCAAGACGAUGAUGCAUAGCCGACCUGAGAGGGUGAUCGGCCACAUUGGGACUGAGACACGGCCCAAACUCCUACGGGAGGCAGCAGUAGGGAAUCUUCCGCAAUGGGCGAAAGCCUGGCGGAGCAAUGCCGCGUGAGUGAAGAAGGCCUUCGGGUCGUAAAACUCUGUUAUAAGAGAAGAACAAAUUGUAGAGUAACUGCUACAGUCUUGACGGUAUCUUAUCAGAAAGCCACGGCUAACUACGUGCCAGCAGCCGCCGUAA
rnacentral:rRNA from 1 species